ACCGCCAUGGAGGGCGGUGGUUCCAUGCAGCAGCGAUGUUUCGGCGGUGCCGAAACUCGUAGUCAAAACUAUACAUGGAUGUAUAGUUUUGACAGAC
rnacentral:sRNA from 1 species